rnacentral:tRNA from 1 species
GCUUGGGUGGCUUAAUGGUUGAGCACCUGCCUUCGGCGCAGGGCGUGAUCCCGGAGUGCCGGAUCGAGUCCCACAUCGGGCU